UACGAAGGGGGCGAGCGUUGUUCGGAAUCACUGGGCGUAAAGGGCGCGUAGGCGGCCCUCCUUGUCGCGUGUGAAAGCCCCGGGCUCAACCUGGGAACGGCGCGCGAGACGGGGGGGGCUGGAGUUCGGGAGAGGAGCGUGGAAUUCCCAGUGUAGAGGUGAAAUUCGUAGAUAUUAGGAAGAACACCGGUGGCGAAGGCGGCGCGUCGGACCGAGACUG
rnacentral:rRNA from 1 species